rnacentral:rRNA from 1 species
UACGUAGGGUGCAAGCGUUAAUCGGAAUUACUGGGCGUAAAGCGUGCGCAGGCGGUUAUGUAAGACAGGUGUGAAAUCCCCGGGCUUAACCUGGGAACUGCAUUUGUGACUGCAUAGCUAGAGUACGGCAGAGGGGGAUGGAAUUCCGCGUGUAGCAGUGAAAUGCGUAGAUAUGUGGAGGAACACCGAUGGCGAAGGCAGCCCCCUGGGCUGAGAUUGACGCUCAGGCACGAAAGCGUGGGGAGCAAACAGG